AGCUCCAAUAGCGUAUAUUAAAGUUGUUGCAGUUAAAAAGCUCGUAGUUGGAUCUCGGGUCCAGGCUUGUGGUCCACCUCGCGGUGGUUACUGCUCGUCCUGACCUACCUCCCGGUUUUCCCUUGAUGCUCUUAGCUGAGUGUCUCGGGUGGCCGGAACGUUUACUUUGAAAAAAUUAGAGUGUUCAAAGCAGGCAUUUCGCCUGAAUAAUGGUGCAUGGAAUAAUGGAAUAGGACCUCGGUUCUAUUUUGUUGGUUUUCGGAACUUGAGGUAAUGAUUAAGAGGGACAGACGGGGGCAUUCGUAUUACGGUGUUAGAGGUGAAAUUCUUGGAUCGCCGUAAGACGAACUACUGCGAAAGCAUUUGCCAAGAAUGUUUUCAUUAAUCAAGAACGAAAGUA
rnacentral:rRNA from 1 species